rnacentral:rRNA from 1 species
GAUGAACGCUGGCGGCGUGCUUAACACAUGCAAGUCGAACGGAAAGGCCCUGCUUUUGUUGGUUGCUCGUUUGGCGAACGGGUGUGUAACACGUGAGUAACCUGCCCUUGUCUGUGUGAUAACUUCACGAAACUGGGGCUAAUACCGGAUAUGAUCUCCUGCUCCAUAGUGGUGGUUGGAAAGUUUCGGCUUUUCUGGAUGUACUCGGGGCUUCUCAGCUUGUUGGCGUGGUAGUGGCGUACCAAGGGUUUGAUGGGUAGCCGGCCUGGGAGGGUGAGCGGCCACACUGGAACUGAGACACGGUCCAGACGCCUACGGGAGGCAGCAGUAGGGAAUCUUCCGCAAUGGGCGGAAGCCUGACGGAGCAACGCCGCGUGAGUGAUGAUGGUCUUCGGAUCGUAAAACUCUGUUAUUAGGGAAGAACAAAUGUGUAAGUAACUAUGCACGUCUUGACGGUACCUAAUCAGAAAGCCACGGCUAACUACGUG